UCUUGGUUGCCAGCAGCAGAGAAUUAGGCAGAAGAAACAUGUAAUAAAGGAUAUUAGGUAGGUCACAGACUCUCUGGGCCAGAACCCAGACUUGGAAGCCACAAAGGCUGAAAACCCACUCCCCUCCUCAUCCUUUGACCUCUACUCCAAGUUCCUAGGCUGGGAACUUGGGGAAAAUCUCUCAGGGAAAGAUUCUCUUUCUGCCCUGUCUUGUUUGGCUUUUUACCACGCCCAACAGUCUGUCCUAGGACACACUGCCAGCUCCCCCAACCUCCCCCAGCUCAGAGGUGCUCACAGCUGCUGCCCACAGGCCCUCACUCUUCUGUGAAAGUGACACCCACCCAAUCACCAAUCCAUCGCCCAUUGAUGGAUCCAUCCAUCCACCCACUUACCCAUCCCUCUCGGGGCUUCUGUUUCCAUGGUUACUCCAGGGCCUGAGUCUGCUCUGGGUUUGCUGAAAGAUUCUUCAUGCUAGGCUGUUUCCACAACAUUUUUACUAGUGGACUCAAACUCUCGAUGACUGAUGGGGUCCCAUCCUUCUAACAGUGCUCCCUACUUGCAGAUCACACAUGGCUUACAUGUCAGUCCAUCAAGGCAGUCAGCUUCCUGGAUUUAAAAUAAAAGCAAAAGCUCUGCAGUAUUUAAACAGAGAGGCACUCGGAAGUACCGUGUCUGGGAGGGGUGCCACAGGAGACCAAGUGGGAGUUCCCAGAGCACCUAUGCCAUUUGGCAAUGGGAUUUUUUCUUAGUAAAUAUGGGAAUAUGUGUGUGUAUGUGGAAGAGGAACUUACUGGAGGUAAGUCGCAAGAGGAAUGGUAGGAAACACAGUGGAGUUGUAUCAUAGACACAUUAACAUUAUUAAUUAAAUUAUACAUUGUCAGCAAAGAGAGAAAGAGGAAUAGAAAUGGUGUGACUAUUUCCAUCGACCACAUCAUUCACUGAGAGACCUUGGAUUGUUCAUUUAUUUCUUCACCCACCCAUUCAUACAUGCAUACCUAAUUUUCCAGAAAAGCAUUUGAGGCAGCCAAAGUAUGUUUUGUUCUAGUCCUCUUUCCUUCAUCUAUUCAAUAAAUAUUCAUUAAGUCUCAUGAGCAAGGCAGACAAGCAAAGGGCAAUAGAGCCAUGCUGCAGAUAAGGUCUACAUGUUAGGGACAACUGGGGAAGCCCGGAUCCAAAGGGCAAUUCCCAUCUCAUCAUCUCUAGACAUCAUGUCUAGAAGGAGAUGGAGAUGAAAGCUCAGCACUCACAUGUCCCCACAUGUGUUUUCACUAGGGAGGGAGGAAGGUCCUUCAGCAUUACAGCUGCUCCUUGGCCCGUAGACUCUCCCAGCUUUGACUUGUACAGAGUUUGAGUCAGAGAUUGCCUUCUAAGAUCUUCCAAACCCAUUUUAGCUGGCUGGUUUUUAAUGCACUAACCACCAAGAUAUUCCAUUAUCUCUAGAUCAGUGGUUUUUAAUUUUUCUCCCUUUUCUAACAGCCCCAAUUAGAAGUAAUGUGGAAAAACUGAGGAAACACAAGUACAGAGAAAAUAAAUAAGCCUGAUUCAAUGGCCUUCCAUCCUAAACAAAAUCUGAUUGUUGGGCCUCUGACUUGGGUCAGUUCUUUCCUCCUGGAUGUGUGGCACUCUCUGGCCAAUUAAGGGACCACUGGGGGUGUUUGAGAGACACAGGCUUUCCCUCCACCACUCAGCCUGGCCUAGAAGGCAUUUGGCAGAGAAGGUGUAGAUUGUCCUGAGCUUGAAGACAGCUGUGAAUGAGUCAGAAGGGACUUAAGGCCAGUACGAGGCCUCAGAGCCAUGUUGACCAUAUUUGUCAAGCCUUAAAACUGAAACACAUGGUUUGCCACAUGGAUUACAACAGGACAGAAAAUCUGGAAUUCUAAAAUUCACAUUGCAGGAUGUUAUAGCUGAGUCCAGAAUGGGAUUUGGAGGUUCACUGUUGGUUGAACUGAUGGUCCAUCUGUCAAACUCUGAGCGCCUGUUUAUGUGAAGUGACAGGCACAGGGCUUUUGUUGGCUGGACAGCAUGGAGGGGAGUUGGUAGCAGAGUUGCCUUGGGAAGGCAGAGAGGGAGAGACUAAAGGAUGGAGGGAAUGGCAGAGUGGUCAGUGCCUCAUGGGCACCCUCCCCCAUGCAGACAGAGGGCCUAGAAAGAAAGCCAAAGGGGCUAUUUUCAUGAAGAUAUUAAAGACAUUCUGGGUACAAACCCAGCUGUUUCGGCUCACCCACAAAACAUGAGAGAUGCCAUUCUUCUUCUUUUGCAUGGGACCCAGUACCGCUCUUGCAUCCCAUGGGAUGGUGACUUUAGUUGCUCCAAGAGACACUACCUUCCUCUCACCCCAAAUAGCAUUCUCCAUAGAGCACAGUUAGCAGGGGCUUCCCAGAAAGCUACAGCUGAGUGAAUGGAAGCAGAGGGCUUAGUAGACAAUUUAGGAGUGAGAGGUCUUGAGUAAGAAAAUAGGGCCAUAAUUUUGGGUCACAUAUUUAUGAGGAUUAAAGAAGGCAAGCUGCAUUACAGAAAAAAUAGAAGACCACAGAACAACAGGGGACAUUUUCUUUCAAACUCAAAAUUGGGUCAAAUGAUGGGAGUCACAGUUGGAUAAUAGGAUAGAUGAUCUGAAUUCAGAACUGGUCCAGAAAAAUUACCAAAGCAGUGUCAGAUUAAAUUGAUGGAGGGUUUCAUUGGAUUAGAUCCCAAAACUCUGGUUGUGAGUGCUUAUUUAUGCAGUCUCUUGUCUCAGCAGAAUGGGAGUCCUCCAUCAACUUUAUAAAACCAGCAGAAGGAUUGCCAGCCAGCCUCUGGCUUUGGAUUUUUUUGAGAUCUAACAUUUUAAAGAGUUUGUGUCAGUGAGACCUAUUUAGAAAACAAAUGAUCAUUUAAAGUCUCUUAAAGGCUUUAAGAAUAUAUUUUAAUCAUCGAAUCUCCCCCUAAGCCUAGCAGAGUUAUUCAUGAAUAAAUUGUUGUGCCUUUGAGUCAACAGAAAUUGGACAGAUUUGCUGAAUUAAUGAACCUUUCCUUUUUUCAGGUCCUUCUCAUGGCUGUGGCAAUGUGCAUGUCCACUAGCUUUGUGAAAUGCAGAUGGAGUAUAAUUUUCCCCAAAUUGAUCUGUUCUACAUCAUUGAGUUUCAGCUAUUUGCAUUUUAAAGCCAGAAUCAAAUUUAGCUUAUGAUUAUUGUUGUGGAAAAUCAUUAUAAUCCUUUAAUUGUCAUGGCUCUUGAUGAUUUUUUAAAAAUUCACAAAUGUUAUUUAAUUCCAUAUUCACUAUGACAUAGGACAUUGAGCAGAGUAGGAACUAUCAAAUGUGUCUCCAACUUCAAACUGCCCCUCUUUUUCAGUUGGGAAAUUAAGGUUCUCAAUGGUUAGCUGAUGUGCCCCUGGCCAUACUGAUGUAAGUUAUAGAAGCAGGAACAGAAACCAGAGUGAAUGGCUCUGCCCUGUCCUGAGUUCUGUCCCAUCAAGAUGAGUCUUCAAAGUCUGUCAAGUGGGUGUGAUUAGCUUUGCCUUGCAGGCUCACUGUCUGUGUCAUGUAUAUGUAGGCUAGGUGGCACAGGGUGCCCAGUUGCUCCUGUCUCUUCCCAUCUCCAUGCAAUGGCAGGUGCCAUUUGGAGAUCAGAAAGCCUCCGGGGCUGAGAUGAGAGAACAAAAAGCCUUCCUCUUAACCAGCCUGAAAGCCAAGGGGCAACGCAUGUGCGUGUACAUACAUACACACACACAUACACACAAACACACCUGCCAGCAUGCACUAUGAAUAUACAUGCAUGUGUCAGGGGAAGAGCAUCUCUCUGAAUUUCAAAGCUCCAGUAGGUUAAGAAAACAUCUCUUCUCAUCUGCUUCUGUUCCAUCUCUACAAUCAGCUCCAUAAAGGCUCCACCACCCAAGUACAUUCAUGACAACCCACUUUCCAGAUCUAAAUGAUACAACUCCUCCAAGUCCUUGGCUUUCAUUGUCAAUUGGUUCUUCCAUUUGCCUGCUGACUGAUGCACACAGUUUUUGGCAUCCUCCAGUCCUGAAGACUCUGCUGGGUGUAUCCUUCCUGUCCAGUGGUCGUUUUUAGCUGGAAGUUGGGUAAAAAGAUGUAGCAAUAGCCAGGAUAGUGUCUCUUUGUGCCUCUCACCCCCUUAGCAAGCUCAGCUGGAGUGGCACUCACAGGAUGUUCCCACUGUGGCCUCCUCUCCCACGCUGGACUCCAGGGCUGGAACCAACCUUUGCCAUCACCUGGUCCAACCCCCUUCUUUUACAGACAAGGGGUUCCAGCCUUAAUUCUGGACCUAAGCUACCUGAGAGAGGUAUUUUUAUUCAUUGGUCAUGGGACAUCUAGAUAAACCAGGCCUUAUUUACCCAUCUGCAGUGCCUUGGGAAAGAGUCAGAGUUCCCCCACCUUUCAGUGAGAAAUUGUUUUCAGAUGCGAGUAACAAAGACGACUGAGGCCAUUUGAACAAACAGCCUGGGGCAGCUGUCUAGAGGUCCCUUUCAAGGCCUCAGGACCCCAAGGCUGUUUUCUGUCUUUCCCUCGAGCUGUUACCUCAGGUUCUCAAGAGGAUGGCUGCACCUCCAGGUGUGUGUCUGCAUAUCAGCCAGGAAGAAGAAGGCAAGAGGAGGGGACAUUGCUACAAACUUCUCACAUCUCAUUGGCCUAUACUGUGACUCUGCCAAAUGGCUUCUCUGGCUAUGGGAACCUGCUCUCUCUGAGCAGGCCAGAGAGACAGGACUGCCCCUGAUCCCCUCCCCAGGGGCAGCCCUCUACUAAUCAGUAACUGAUAGCAAUUGGUGGAUCACUACCCCAG
rnacentral:lncRNA from 1 species